GACGUAGGGCGCGAGCGUUGUCCGGAUUUAUUGGGCGUAAAGAGCUCGUAGGCGGCUUGUCGCGUCGUCCGUGAAAACCUGCAGCUCAACUGCAGGCUUGCGGUCGAUACGGGCAGGCUAGAGUUCGGUAGGGGAGACUGGAAUUCCUGGUGUAGCGGUGAAGUGCGCAGAUAUCAGGAGGAACACCAGAGGCGAAGGCGGCGCUCUGGCUCGCAACUGACGCUCAGACACGACAGCAUGGGGAGCGAACGGG
rnacentral:rRNA from 1 species